UUGGCUAAUCGCCGCUGCUGACGCCCUGCUCUGCUCUUUGAUUGGUGUUAGCCGUGAUGCCUCCUCCCGAAUGCCUCGCUCGGAUUGGCUUAUUUAUUGGUUCAGACCUGGACGGUGGCCAGGGGAGGACAAGAGAUUUCUCUUCGGAAUGGAAGGAUGAUUCGGGUGACCUCUGAGGCGCUACCGCAUGUCUGCACGCCGAGGUGCUUCAGGGACAUGCCGCGGCCUCUGCGGGGUUGGUGAUGCUGGUGAUGACAGCGAGGAACCGGUGGCCGCAUCUCCCAAACCCGCCCAGAAUACUCCCAGAGCAUGAGCGUUGUUUAAUCUUUGUUCUAAUGAAGCCCAAAGGGAUAUGCCUAAAGCUACUCAAACUAGUAAGUAAGGAGUUUAGGAAGACAACUUAAAAGCCUCUUUCAAUUCUGCUGUUUCCACCAGCAAGACUACUGCAGGCAUUCCUUCUUCUUGGAAUUAAUUUAAUUAACAACAGCAAAUUUAUCUUCCAGAGGACUGGGAGUUUUUUUAUAGUCAAAUUAUCCAUUAUUCUCAUUUACCUUAUAUUUUGAGUGAGGAAUAACUGUAUGACACUGUUAAGAAAUACUGCAUUAGUAUAUGAUGAUGAGGGUAUAUUUUAUGUUAAUACACAAAUGAUAUAUAGUUUGACUUUGAUAUCAGUGGACAAAGUUAUAUUGUGUACUAUAUGUAUAUAUAUUAUGUAUUUUGCAAGAGAUCAAUACAUCGCUGUAAGGUAGGGAUUAAGGCAGUAGAGCGUAUGGCAGUUAAGAGCUCAAAUUCUAGAAUGAGACACACCUGAGUUCAAAGCCUCACUCCCCACAUUGUUGUAAAUUCUCAGUGCAUAAUAUCAGGAGGCUGUGCAAACUGUAGUCUCAACCCUCUUCCCCUUGAGGUGGCUCAAUCCCACAGAACUCUGAACCAGUGUAGUCUUACUCCUUGGGGUGUCCUCACCCAACAGCCAGCAAAGCCACCAUCAGCAGUCAUUGGUUAAAGACUGCCCUCAGGGGACAUAAAAUCCCAGAUGCUUUAGGUUUUACAAAAGUGAAGAGUAGCUUAAGAGUUAGUGAUCCAUUCAGAGUCUUCUUUUUAUUAUUGUCCAUGCAUGCAUCUUUCAAAUAAAACAGGAUCUAAGUUCGCAAUAUGGCUUGCAGAGCUAUAUCUCAACAGACUAAGAAACUAUAGCUUGCUUGCUUUCAGGAUAGACAGUUUCCAUACCAUUUGUAUUGCCAUUUUUUAAGUUUAAAUGCAAUUUUGCAACAUGAAAACUGCAUUGAUCUAUAAUGAGUUGGGAAAGUGUCAUUUGUGAUACGUCUGUUACAUGCUGUUUUCAAAGUUUUGAAAUCUUACUACUUAUUACCUAUGAAAUAACACUUAACAAAGCUAUAGGCAUUAUUAAGAUCACAGUUUCAGUUUCUUGUUGGAAAGGUAUUUCUUAUAAAAGUGAAUGAUAAUCAUUAAGUACCUAUCAGAACAAUUUGCCUUAGAGCCGUAAAUACAGUUUAUUUCACUACUUACUCAUCUUCUGCAUAGGUAAUACAGAAAAUGUUUGUUUGGUUCUUUAACUAUCCCUAGGGAACUGAGGAGCCUAAGUUUGAAAAGGCACAAAAUUUAAUUAAAAACAAGACCUUUAAAGGGAUUUUAUCUGGAAGGAAUUUGACUAGUUUGCAUUGUAAGCUUGGAAUUGGUUCUGUGUUGUGCAGUAUAACAAAGCUAUUUGUAGACCAGAUUUAAAUUAAAUAUAAACAGUUUAACCUUUAGCCAUGGGCUUUGAAAUAAUAAUUUCUGUAUUUCUUAAAGUAGUUUCUGGAAAAUAGUUCUUAUUUCAAUAAAAUAAUUAUUUCUAUAAAAUAAUAAUUAAACUUUUGACUUUUAAAUUGAAAAGGUGCUUCUGGCCCUUGAAUACUACUUGGAAACAUGCAUACAUUGUAGAAUCAGUGUUCAAAAUGAAAUGCAAACCAAGUACAUACUGAUGCAGCCUGAUAUUGAUACUUCAGAGAGAGCAUUUGAUAUGUUAAAUAGAAGAUACCUUUGUAAGUAUUGCUAUAGUUUUCCUAGGCAGUGCCAUUCCUAGUAAAGUGCCAUGUCAUCUCAUUUUAUCAAGGUUUGUGACUAUUGGUGUUGACCUUGGUCACCUGGCCAAGGUAGUAUCUGUCAGGUUUCUCCACUGUGAAGUCCCUCAUUCCCUUUCUCCUUCCAUACUGUAGUCUUUAGAAGGAUUCUCUUUGUGCACCACAAACAUUUUGCUUUCCAAAAUAGACUAAGAUGCUUAUUUUGGAUGAUGCAGCUAAAAAUUUUUGAGCCAAAGGAAUUAAAGACCAAAUCUAUGAGGUUUUCGAGAAAUUAAAUAGCAAGUAUUCAAUAUGCACAUGUUUUUUGUAGCUGGCAGGUUGAGUUAAUUGCAAUAUAGCUGUGAAGUGCUAUGUUGUCCUUUCUCUCCUGCUGAAAGCAACUGUUUCCUACAAUCUCUGUCUAGCACAAUUCUCUAGUUAGACAGGGACGCUUGGUCUCAAACACUGUUUCCCUGAGUAUAAAAACUGUUAAUAUCUGCCUAAUUGGUGUGUCAGUAUAAUUCAUCAUCUCUUUUGUAAUGUAUUAUUGUUUUCUGUCUUUAGGCCAAUCAAUAUAUUGAAAGUCAUCAAAAAGUUCAUAGCAAUCCUUUUCAAAUUCUGUUGAAGAAGGAAAUGACCCUGAAAAGGACAAAUGUUUUAUAAUAAUUUUGAAAGAGGGGAACAAAAUUGUAUACUCUUUGUGACAUUCGAAAGUGACUAGGACACAGACUGUCCUUUUUUAGAACGUAAGGCAAAACAAGGGAAGACUUCUGAGAAAAUGUCUCCCAGGAAUUUCAGUCUCUGAUAUGAAUUGACAGUAGAAGUCAAUGUGGGAGCAAAGCUGUGCCUGUGAACAAGAGGAUUCUUCAUGACGUUGAUACUCAACAAUACUACCAUGGAAGAAAUGCCAGUGAAUGUGGCUGACCUUAUUUCCAGGGUUGCGAUGGUUUUGAAUGUGUGCUAGUUGUUGCUGAAUAGGUGAUCACAAUGUGCAUUGUGCUGCUCUCCUUGGGAAUGUUUGAAGCUUGUCUCAAUGCUCACAACAAAUCCAAAAUACAGAUUUUGAUAGCAAAGUAACCUCAGUCAUGAGCUCUUAUGAAAAAUCAUUGACUUCAUCCCCUUUUAGACUAUUGGGGUUGGGUAUAAACUAGGAGGUUGAAAAAAACUUCCUUAGAAGUUUAGUUCCUAAUUCUGGAACAAUGAUAUAGUGAGUAUUCGCUGUCAUUUAAUAAUAUACUUAAGAUAUGGGCUGUCUUAAACUAGUGUAUCUGACUUUAUUGUUUUAGUAAUUAGAUGUAUAUAUAGAAUGAUCUUUAAGAUAAUUUUUUAAGAAAAUAUUUUAAUUUAUUUUGUUUGCUAUAGUGUUUUUGCCCAAUAAACAUUUUACUAGUGGUAAGUUUAAUCUAGACCCUGUUGCUAAGCAGCAGCAACAAUCCUAGGGUUAAAUCCCAGGGAAAAAGACCAUAUUAUGUAUCAAAUAUUUUAUAAGUUGCAAUAAA